AUGUGGCAUAGGCGUCACCAACAUGUCUUACAAUUCCCUGUUUCCUUCAACCAGAAUAAUAUACGACACAAUAAUCAAUAUUUUAAUUGGUACAAAUCGGUUAGUAACCCAGAAAUGCAUGUGUCUCAUCUGAGAUAUUUGGUUGACCCACAAACACAAUGGACACAAACCUCAAAUCCCAAACAACAAACCCAACACUCAUCAACCUCCCACGAACCACCUCGAUGA